rnacentral:rRNA from 1 species
AUACGUAGGGGGCGAGCGUUGUCCGGAAUGAUUGGCGUAAAGGGCGCGUAGGCGGCCCGGUAAGUCUGGAGUGAAAGUCCUGUUUUUAAGAUGGGAAUUGCUUUGGAUACUGUCGGGCUUGAGUGCAGGAGAGGUAAGUGGAAUUCCCAGUGUAGCGGUGAAAUGCGUAGAGAUUGGGAGGAACACCAGUGGCGAAGGCGACUUACUGGACUGUAACUGACGCUGAGGCGCGAAAGUGUGGGGAGCAAACAGGAUUAGAUACCCUGGUAGUCCACACUGUAAACGAUGAAUGCUAGGUGUAGGGGGUAUCGACCCCUUCUGUGCCGCAGUCAACACAAUAAGCAUUCCGCCUGGGGAGUACGGCCGCAAGGUUGAAACUCAAAUGAAUUGACGGGG